rnacentral:rRNA from 1 species
GUGGGGAAUAUUGGACAAUGGGGGGAACCCUGAUCCAGCCAUGCCGCGUGUGUGAAGAAGGCCUUUUGGUUGUAAAGCACUUUAAGCGAGGAGGAGGCUACCGAGAUUAAUACUCUUGGAUAGUGGACGUUACUCGCAGAAUAAGCACCGGCUAACUCUGUGCCAGCAGCCGCGGUAAUACAGAGGGUGCAAGCGUUAAUCGGAUUUACUGGGCGUAAAGCGCGCGUAGGUGGCCAAUUAAGUCAAAUGUGAAAUCCCCGCGCUUAACUUGGGAAUUGCAUUCGAUACUGGUUGGCUAGAGUAUGGGAGAGGAUGGUAGAAUUCCAGGUGUAGCGGUGAAAUGCGUAGAGAUCUGGAGGAAUAUCGAUGGCGAAGGCAGCCAUCUGGCCUAAUACUGACACUGAGGUGCGAAAGCAUGGGGAGCAAACAGGAUUAGAAACCCUAGUAGUCC